CACGUAGGGCGCAAGCGUUGUCCGGAAUUAUUGGGCGUAAAGAGCUCGUAGGCGGUCUGUUGCGUCCGCUGUGAAAACCCGGGGCUUAACCCCUGGCUUGCAGUGGAUACGGACAGACUAGAGGUAGGUAGGGGAGAAUGGAAUUCCCGGUGUAGCGGUGAAAUGCGUAGAUAUCAGGAGGAACACCGGUGGUGUAGACGGCUCUCUGGACCGUAACUGACGCUGAGACACGAAAGCGUGGGUAGCAAACAGG
rnacentral:rRNA from 1 species